rnacentral:tRNA from 1 species
ACACUCAUAAGGCACGGUAACGUAUGCGGUUGUGUGCUAUAUACGGCGGUCUUCGGAACCGAGGGUUAGAGGUUCGAGUCCUCUCGGGUGUA